rnacentral:ribozyme from 13 species
GAGUGGAAGAUCAAAAUGAUCUGAAGAAAUAUAGAUAGAGAGAAAUAAAUAAAUAAAUAAAUAAAGAAAGAAAGAAACAGAGGGUUAGAAUUAUAUAUUUGGAUCAGAUUUCAUGUUAAUUAUGUCAAUCUGAUAUUCUUACUAUCAAAU